AGACAACGACGCGGGAGCCCACUGGUCGCUGGGGGCUGAGAGGGCGCCACGAAGGUGCCGACCGCCGGAACCUGUCCGGGUCAUGCCGGCGAAGGGAGUGGUUGACAUGACUGA
rfam:Propionibacterium acnes KPA171202, complete genome.